AACCAAAGAAGGCCUCAGUCUGUAUCAUGCUUUUUAAAUGCCGAUCAUGGGAACAGAACAUUCUCGAAAUUCCGAACUUUCGGUUUUCAAUCCGGCCAAAUAACUGAAUUUCAACUCAGACCGUCGACUUGAAAUCGACCCUACUUUGAUCAGCUCGGCGGCGCGCACGCAUACACGGCACGCUGAGAACCUACAAACUGGGGGUGGAGAGCGGAACGCCACCGGGCCCAGAUCACAGUGUGGGGGCUAUCUAGCAGAGGCAGCUCACCACGCUGACGACGAGACGCGCGAUGCAGUCCUCGGCGCCGCCGUCGUCCCUGACGAGCCGCCGCAGCGCCCGGUUCCUCGGGAGCACGCCGGCGCGGUGCAGCACCGUGGCCGCCGCCUCCGCCGGCCGGCCCGCCAGGAACGGCCCCAGGAACCGCGCCGCCGGCCUCAGGAACAGCGGCAGCAGAGACUGCAAAACAUGCCAAGAACCCAUGGCCACGCGAUGAGCAGCAUGCAUCGAACGAGCGAGGCACAGACAGACAGAAGAUGAGUGCGUGCUGGCCUGACGCGGUGACGUACCAUCGGGCUAUCAGGACGGCGCGGCGCCUGGCCGGCUUUGGUUGUUGGAUGCGACGGCCGCCGGCGUCAACCGGCGGUGGCAAUCGGCAAUGGCGAUGACCGGCGCGGGAGCAAGUGCUCUGGUUGCCCGGCCGUGGGUGCGCUGCGACCUUGGAGAGGCAGGAGCCUUUUGGGACGUGGGCAGGUGUGCAAGCGUGCGUGCGUGAGGCAUGGGGUUCCGAGAGCCCAGAGCCCGGGCCGGGCGACGACGAAAACAGUUGGCGCGCGGCGGCACCUGCCGUGCGCCCAUCGUUUGGCCGCCACCCGCCGUGGAAAUCCCAACGCCGCCGUCCGCAUGGGCCUAUCUCGGCCGCAUGAGCCAGCAGUGCCUCUGUUGCUUCUGCUCCGCGUGGCGCUCUCUUCGGUGCCUUUCCUUUUUGAUGGAGCACUGCGCCUGUUGAGAGAGACACCUGUACGUGUGCUUUGCUUCUUGCAAUCUUGCCGUCACCAAAGCUACCAAGAGAGUUGGGUUGGGACACAUGAUCAGUGCUCAGAUUAGCCCUGGAUCGAUUGGUUGUUGCCGUCCACAAGCAAAGUCUCGGCGUGCAUGCAGCGUGUUGGUUUAAGUGGUGAACGGUUUAGUGACCAGCGCCGGCAAGCAAGGGAUAAGUUAAAGGUGAAAAAGGCAGUCGCUCAGGGGGCGGAAAUCCUCAAAAGAACACACAAGAAAUGAAAUCUUUUAUUUAUUAAAGAAAAUAAAUGAAAACCUGCGUACGGACAUCAUCGAGCGAGCAUGUUUGCAUGCCAGGGAUACGCACUAUCACGAGCACGCAAGGAACAAAGCUCAAGCCUUUUUGUUAUUUUUUUUGUUCUCCUCUUCUUGCUAAGCGUGCGCAUAUAUCCAUCCUUUUUUUUUUGCGCACCGCAUAUAUCCAUCCUUAGGCCAACCCCCAACUGAUUCCCAAUAACCGGUUAGGGGAGUAAGAUUAAAACCCGAUUUUACUACUCUAACUGGGACCUAGCCGAUCCCCAAUUGGCGCGACGCCUUGCCGACCUGAUUGCUCGCCGUCACCGUGAACGCCGCCGCCCGCCGUUGUCAACUGCCAAUGGCAAUCGGCAAUGGCAAUGGCUGGUGUUGGAGGGAGCGAGCAGUUGUUACCUGUGCGUGUGUUGCAGCCUUGGGACGAAGGGUGGCGCAGGAGCCUUGUGGGGCGUGUGAUCGAUGGGCAGGUGUGCAAGCAAGCAAGCGCGCGUGCAUGAGCCAUGAGGCGCGACGACGAAAAAAGUUGGUGCGCCGCGGAACCUGCCGCGCGCCGGCCCGCGAAAAAACUUUGCAUGCAGUACCAAAAAAAAUCAGUUUUUUUUUAUCUUACUACUCUCUCCUUUCCUAAAUACUCCAUUCGUCUCAAAAAACUUGUCCCGAGCUUGUCUCUCAAAUGGAUGCAUCUAGCACUAAUUUGGUGCUAGAUAUAUUUAUUUGAGGGACAAGCUUUUUCAAACGGAGGCAUUAUAAGUCUUUGUAGAGAUUUUACUCUGAACUACAUGCAAAUGUAUAUAGAUGCAUUUUAAGUGUGGAUUCAUUCAUUUUAUUCCGUAUGUAAUCCAUCUAGUGAAAUCUCUACAAAGACUUACAUUUAGGAACGGAGGCAAUAGUCAUGAGGGAGCAUGGGAGCUUGGGAUCAAAAGAGCACUCUCCGCCUGUGUGCUUUGCUUCUUGGAAUCUUGCCGUCACGAAAGCUACGAAAAGAUCGAGUUGAGAUGAGUACAGAGGGGCCACAUGAUCAAUGCUCAGAUUAGCGGUACUAGUAUGUAAAAGUAUGUUCGCCUCGGAUCGAUUGAUGUUGCCGCCAACAAGCAAAAUCUCGCGUGCGUCCGCGUGCAGCGUGUUGUUUUAACUUUUAAGUAAGUGUAGCGAGUGAACAGUUCAGUGACCAGCGCGAGCAAGCAAGGGAUACGUACAAGGUGAAAAAGCAGUCGCUCAAGGCACGCCGGGAAUCCUCCAAAGAACACAAAAGAAAUGAAGAUGUGCGUACCAACAUCACCGAGCAUGCAUGUGUUGCACCAGGGAUGCCAUGUCAUCACGAGGACGCAAGGAACAAAAACCUUUUUAUUAUCUUAUAUUUACUUCUUCUUCUUCUUCUUCUUCUUCUUGUUCUUCUUAAGCCCAUGCAUGCAUCUCUCUUAUAGACCGCCGGGGGACGGGAGAAGACAAGGUGAACAACAUUGCAUUCAUACGUACACCGUCGCCAAUAAGGAGAGGGGAGGAGGGCGGCCGGCCGGCCGAGGAUGGGUCUAUCAGCAUCAGGCGCCAUGCAGUGGUGGGAUGAGUGGCAGCUGCACGUCCUCGUGCUGGGCAGCCUCUUCGUCCAGUACCUGCUCUUCUUCUCCUCCGUGGUGCGUAGGCGUGCCCUCCCGUCUUGGUUCAGGCUGUUAUUCUGGCUCGCCUACCUAGACGGCGACGCUCUCGCGAUAUACGCCCUGGCCACCCUCUUCAACCGCCACAAGCAGCAGGAGCAGCUCGCCGCCGGCCUGGAGGUGUUGUGGGCGCCCGUCCUCCUCAUCCACCUCGGGGGGCAGCACCUGAUGACCGCCUACAGCAUCGAAGACAACGAGCUAUGGAGGCGACAAGCCGUCACCAUGGUGUCACAGGCAUGGUUUCUCACUACUUCCGGUGUUAUUCCAUCCACAUUUCGGAACCUUCAUUAAUUUCGGUACACAUUAAAAUAAUGGACGCCGAUAUCCAUCACAUGUGUGGUAUAUUCGACAUGCGCCCACACAUGAUGUGUGGUGUGAGCAGGAGGUAGCCCACACAGGCUGUGUGUGGGCGGACAUUAGAAUUGCCCACACGUGUGGGCGCGCCUACUUCGUGCCACACGCCUAAUAAAUACUACUCAUCUCCACCCCACGUGUGUGGCACGAAGCAAAAAAUACUCACACGUCCUGGCGCAGCUACGUUAGAUACCCCGCGGGAUGAUGAUUUAGUUGGCAUCCUGGUUGGCAGAUGUAAUUAUCCGGGAUCGCAAGUGUAGUUGUAAAAGCUGUUGGGGAACAUAGUAAUUUCAAAAAAAUUCCUACGCACACGCAAGAUCAUGGUGAUGCAUAGCAACGAGAGGGGAGAGUGUGAUCUACGUACCCUUGUAGACCGACAGCGGAAGCGUUAGCACAACGCGGUUGAUGUAGUCGUACGUCUUCACGGCCCGACCGAUCAAGCACCGAAACUACGGCACCUCCGAGUUCUAGCACACGUUCAGCUCGAUGACGAUCCCCGGACUCCGAUCCAGCAAAGUGUCAGGGAAGAGUUCCGUCAGCACGAGGCGUGGUGACGAUCUUGAUGUACUACCGUCGCAGGGCUUCGCCUAAGCACCGCUACAAUAUUAUCGAGGAUUAUGGUGGAAGGGGGCACCGCACACGACUAAGAAUAUGAUCACGUGGAUCAACUUGUGUGUCUAGGGGUGCCCCCUGCCCCUGUAUAUAAAGGAUCAAGGGGAGGAGGCCGGCCGGCCUCUAUGUCGCGCCAAGGAGGAGUCCUCCUCCUAGUAGGAGUAGGACUCCUACUAGGAGGGGGAAAGAAGUGGGGAGGGAGAAGGAAAGGGGGGUGCCGCCCCCUCUCCUAGUCCAAUUCGGACCAGGGGAGAGGAGGCGCGCGACCCACCUUUGNNNNNNNNNNNNNNNNNNNNNNNNNNNNNNNNNNNNNNNNNNNNNNNNNNNNNNNNNNNNNNNNNNNNNNNNNNNNNNNNNNNNNNNNNNNNNNNNNNNNNNNNNNNNNNNNNNNNNNNNNNNNNNNNNNNNNNNNNNNNNNNNNNNNNNNNNNNNNNNNNNNNNNNNNNNNNNNNNNNNNNNNNNNNNNNNNNNNNNNNNNNNNNNNNNNNNNNNNNNNNNNNNNNNNNNNNNNNNNNNNNNNNNNNNNNNNNNNNNNNNNNNNNNNNNNNNNNNNNNNNNNNNNNNNNNNNNNNNNNNNNNNNNNNNNNNNNNNNNNNNNUCUACGAAAUCACCCGGAACACUUCUGGUAGCCGAAUAUAGCCGUCCAAUAUAUCAAUCUUUAUGUCUCGACCAUUUCGAGACUCCUCGUCAUGUCCGUGAUCACAUCCGGGACUUCAAACUAACUUUGGUACAUCAAAACUCAUAAACUCAUAAUAUAACUAUCAUCGAAACCUUAAGCGUGCGGACCCUACGGGUUCGAGAACAAUGUAGACAUGACCGAGACACGUCUCCGGUCAAUAACCAAUAGCGGAAUCUGGAUGCUCAUAUUGGCUCCUACAUAUUCUACGAAGAUCUUUAUCGGUCAGACCGCAUAACAACAUACGUUGUUCCCUUUGUCAUUGGUAUGUUACUUGCCUGAGAUUUGAUCGUCGGUAUCUCAAUACCUAGUUCAAUCUCGUUACCGGCAAGUCUCUUUACUCGUUUCGUAAUACAUCAUCUUGCAACUAACUCAUUAGUUGUAAUGCUUGCAAGGCUUAUGUGAUGUGCAUUACCGAGAGGGCCCAGAGAUACCUCUCCGACAAUCGGAGUGACAAAUCCUAAUCUCAAAAUACGCCAACCCAACAUUCACCUUUGGGACACCUGUAGAGCUCCUUUAUAAUCACCCAGUUACGUUGUGACGUUUGGUAGCACACAAAGUGUUCCUCCGGUAAACGAGAGUUGCAUAAUCUCAUAGUCAUAGGAACAUGUAUAAGUCAUGAAGAAAGCAAUAGCAACAUACUAAACGAUUGGGUGCUAAGCUAAUUGAAUGGGUCAUGUCAAUCACAUCAUUCUCCUAAUGAUGUGAUCCCAUUAAUCAAAUGACAACACAUGUCUAUGGUUAGGAAACAUAACCAUCUUCGAUUAACGAGCUAGUCAAGUAGAGGCAUACUAGUGACGUUUCGUUUGUCUAUGUAUUCACACAAGUAUUAUGUUUCUGGAUAAUACAAUUCUAGCACGAAUAAUAAACAUUUAUCAUGAUAUAAGGAAAUAAAAUAAUAACAUUAUUAUUGCCUCUAGGGCAUAUUUCCUUCAGUCUCCCACUUGCACUAGAGUCAAUAAUCUAGAUUACACAGUAAUGAUUCUAACACCCAUGGAGCUUUGGUGCUGACCAUGUUUUGCUCGUGGAAGAGGCUUAGUCAACGGGUCUGCUACAUUCAGAUCCAUAUGUAUCUUGCAAAUCUCUAUGUCUCUCACCUGGACUAGAUCCCGGAUGGAAUUGAAGCGUCUCUUGAUGUGCUUGGUUCUAUUGUGAAAUCUGGAUUCCUUUGCCAAGGCAAUUGCACCAGUAUUGUCACAAAAGAUUUUCAUUGGACCCGAUGCACUAGGUAUGACACCUAGAUCGGAUAUGAACUCCUUCAUCCAGACUCCUUCGUUUGCUGCUUCCGAAGCAGCUAUGUACUCCGCUUCACAUGUAGAUCCCGCCACAACGCUUUGUUUAGAACUGUACCAACUAACAGCUCCACUGUUUAAUGUAAACACGUAUCCGGUUUGCGAUUUAGAAUCGUCCGGAUCAGUGUCAAAGCUUGCAUCAACGUAACCAUUUACGAUGAGCUCUUUGUCACCUUCAUAUAUGAGAAACAUAUCCUUAGUCCUUUUCAGGUAUUUCAGGAUGUUCUUGACCGCUGUCCAGUGAUCCACUCCUGGAUUACUUUGGUACCUCCCUGCUAGACUUAUAGCAAGACACACAUCAAGUCUGGUACACAACAUUGCAUACAUGAUAGAGCCUAUGGCUGAAGCAUAGGGAACAUCUUUCAUUUUCUCUCUAUCUUCUGCAUUGGUCGGACUUUGAGUCUUACUCAUUUUCACACCUUGUAACAUAGGCAAGAAUUCUUUUUUUGCUUGAUCCAUUUUGAACUUUUUCAAAACUUUGUCAAGGUAUGUGCUUUGUGAAAGUCCAAUUAAGCGUCUCGAUCUGUCUCUAUAGAUCUUGAUGCCCAAUAUGUAGGCAGCUUCACCGAGGUCUUUCAUUGAAAAACUUUUAUUCAAGUAUCCUUUUAUGCUAUCCAGAAAUUCUAUAUCAUUUCCGAUUAGUAAUAUGUCAUCUACAUAUAAUAUCAGAAAUGCUAUAGAGCUCCCACUCACUUUCUUGUAAAUACAGGCUUCUCCAAAAGUCUGUAUAAAACCAAAUGCUUUGAUCACACUAUCAAGUGUUUAUUCCAACUCCGAGAGGCUUGCACCAGUCCAUAAAUGGAUUGCUGGAGCUUGCACACUUUGUUAGCUCCUUUUGGAUCGACAAAACCUUCCGGCUGCAUCAUAUACAACUCUUCCUGCAGAAAUUCAUUCAGGAAUGCAGUUUUGACAUCCAUUUGCCAAAUUUCAUGAUCAUAAAAUGCGGCAAUUGCUAACAUGAUUCGGACAGACUUAAGCAUCGCUACAGGUGAGAAGGUAUCAUCGUAGUCAAUCCCUUGAACUUGCCGAAAACCUUUUAUGACAAGUCGAGCUUUGUAGAGAAUCAUAUUACCGUCAGCGUCAGUCUUCUUCUUGAAGAUCCAUUUAUUCUCAAUUGCUUGCCGAUCAUUGGGCAAGUCAACAAAGUCCAUACUUUGUUCUCAUACAUGGAUCCCAUCUCAGAUUUCAUGGCUUCAAGCCAUUUUGCGGAAUCUGGGCUCACCAUCGCUUCUUCAUAGUUCAUAGGUUCAUCAUGAUCUAGUAGCAUGACUUUCAGAACAGGAUUACCAUACCACUCUGGCGCAGAUCUUACUCUGGUUGAUCUACGAGGUUCAGUAGUAUCUUGUUCUGAAGUUUCAUGAUCAUUAUCAUUAGCUUCCUCACUAAUUGGUGUAGGUGUCACAGAAACAGGUUUCUGUGAUGUACUACUUUCCAAUAAGGGAGCAGGUACAGGUACCUCAUCAAGUUCUACUUUCCUCCCACUCACUUCUUUCGAGAGAAACUCCUUCCCCAGAAAGUUUCUGAAUUUAGCAACAAAAGUCUUGCCUUCGGAUCUGUGAUAGAAGGUGUAUCCAAUAGUUUCCUUUGGAUAUCCUAUGAAGACACAUUUCUCCGAUUUGGGUUCGAGCUUAUCAGGUUGAAGCUUUUUCACAUAAGCAUCGCAACCCCAAACUUUUAGAAACGACAAUUUUGGUUUCUUGCCAAACCACAGUUCAUAAGGCGUCGUCUCAACGGAUUUUGAUGGUGCCCUAUUUAACAUGAAUGCGCCCGUCUCUAGAGCAUAUCCCCAAAACGAUAGCGGUAAAUUAGUAAGAGACAUCAUAGAUCGCACCAUAUCUAGUAAAGUACGAUUACGACGUUCGGACACACCAUUACGCUGUGGUGUUCUGGGUGGUGUGAGUUGCGAAACUAUUCCACAUUGUUUCAAAUGUACACCAAACUCGUAACUCAAAUAUUCUCCUCCACGAUCAGAUCGUACGAAUUUUAUUUUCUUGUUACGAUGAUUUUCAACUUCACUCUGAAAUUCUUUGAACUUUUCAAACGUUUCAGACUUAUGUUUCAUUAAGUAGAUAUACCCAUAUCUGCUUAAGUCAUCUGUGAAGGUGAGAAAAUAACGAUAUCCGCCACGAGCCUCAACAUUCAUCGGACCACAUACAUCUGUAUGUAUGAUUUCCAACAAAUCUAUUGCUCUCUCCAUAGUACCAGAGAAUGGUGUUUUUGUCAUCUUACCCAUAAGGCACGGUUCGCAAGUACCAAGUGAUUUAUAAUCAAGUGGUUCCAAAAGCCCAUCAGUAUGGAGUUUCUUCAUGCGCUUUACACCGAUAUGACCCAAACGGCAGUGCCACAAAUAAGUUGCACCAUCAUUAUCAACUCUGCAUCUUUUGGCUUCAACACUAUGAAUAUGUGUGUCACUACUAUCGAGAUUUAAUAAGAAUAGAUCACUCUUUAAGGGUGCAUGACCAUAAAAGAUAUUACUCAUAUAAAUAGAACAACCAUUAUUCUCUGAUUUAAAUGAAUAACCGUCUCGCAUCAAACAAGAUCCAGAUAUAAUGUUCAUGCUUAACGCUGGCACCAAAUAACAAUUAUUUAGGUCUAAUACUAAUACCGAAGAUAGAUGUAGAGGUAGUGUGCCGACUGCGAUCACAUCGACUUUGGAACCAUUUCCCACGCGCAUCGUCACCUCGUCCUUAGCCAAUCUUCGCUUAAUCCGUAGUCCCUGUUUCGAAUUGCAAAUAUUAGCAACAGAACCAGUAUCAAAUACCCAGGUGCUAUUGCGAGCAUUAGUAAGGUACACAUCAAUAAUAUGUAUAUCAUAUAUACCUUUGUUCACCUUGCCAUCCUUCUUAUCCGCGAAAUACUUGGGGCAGUUCCGCUUCCAGUGACCAGUCUGCUUGCAGUAGAAGCACUCUGUUUCAGGCUUAGGUCCAGGUUUGGGUUUCUUCUCUUGAGUAGCAACUUGCUUGCUGUUCUUUUUGAAGUUCCCCUUCUUCUUCCCUUUGCCCUUUUUCUUGAAACUAGUGGUCUUGUUGACCAUCAACACUUGAUGCUCCUUCUUGAUUUCUACCUCCGCAGCUUUCAGCAUUGCGAAGAGCUCGGGAAUAGUCUUAUUCAUCCCUUGCAUAUUAUAGUUCAUCACGAAGCUCUUGUAGCUUGGUGGUAGUGAUUGGAGAAUUCUGUCAAUGACGCAAUCAUCUAGAAGAUUAACUCCCAAUUGAAUCAAGUGAUUAUUAUACCCAGACAUUUUGAGUAUAUGCUCACUGACAGAACUGUUCUCCUCCAUCUUGCAGCUAUAGAACUUAUUGGAGACUUCAUAUCUCUCAAUCCGGGCAUUUGCUUGGAAUAUUAACUUCAACUCCUGGAACAUCUCAUAUGCUCCAUGACGUUCAAAACAUCGUUGAAGUCCCGAUUCUAAGCCGUAAAGCAUGGCACAUUGAACUAUCGAGUAGUCAUCAGCUUUGCUCUGCCAGACGUUCAUAACAUCUGGUGUUGCUCCAGCAGCAGGCCUGGCACCCAGCGGUGCUUCCAGGACGUAAUUCUUCUGUGCAGCAAUGAGGAUAAUCCUCAAGUUACGGACCCAGUCCAUGUAAUUGCUACCAUCAUCUUUCAACUUUGCUUUCUCAAGGAACGCGUUAAAAUUCAACGGAACAACAACACGGGCCAUCUAUCUACAAUCAAACAUAAACAAGCAAGAUACUAUCAGGUACUAAGUUCAUGAUAAAUUUAGGUUCAAUUAAUCAUAUUACUAAAGAACUCCCACUUAGACAGACAUCCCUCUAAUCCUCUAAGUGAUUACGUGAUCCAAAUCACUAAACCAUGUCCGAUCAUCACGUGAGAUGGAGCAGUUUCAUUGGUGAACAUCGCUAUGUUGAUCAUAUCUACUAUAUGAUUCACGCUCGACCUUUCGGUCUCUGUGUUCCGAGGCCAUAUCUGUAUAUGCUUGGCUCGUCAAGUAUAAUCUGAGUAUUCUGCGUGUGCAACUGUUUUGCACCCGUUGUAUUUGAACGUAGAGCCUAUCACACCCGAUCAUCACGUGGUGUCUCAGCACGAAGAACUUUUGCAAUGGUGCAUACUCAGGGAGAACACUUCUUGAUAAUUAGUGAGAGAUCAUCUUAAAAUGCUACCGUCAAUCAAAGCAAGAUAAGAUGCAUAAAAGAUAAACAUCACAUGCAAUCAAUAUAAGUGAUAUGAUAUGGCCAUCAUCAUCUUGUGCUUGUGAUCUCCAUCUUCGAAGCACCGUCGUGAUCACCAUCGUCAUCGGUGCGACACCUUGAUCACCAUCGUAGUAUUGUUGUCGUCUCGCCAAUUCUAUGCUUCCAUGACUAUCGCUACCGUUUAGUGAUAAAGUAAAGCAUUACAGCGCAAUUGCAUUGUAUAUAAUAAAGCAACAACCAUAUGGCUCCUGCCAGUUGCCAAUAACUUGGUUACAAAACAUGAUCAUCUCAUACAAUAAAAUUCAGCAUCAUGUCUUGACCAUAUCACAUCACAACAUGCCCUGCAAAAACAAGUUAGACGUCCUCUACUUUGUUGUUGCAAGUUUUACGUGACUGCUACGGGCUUAAGCAAGAAUCAAUCUUACCUACGCAUCAAAACCACAACGAUAGUUUGUCAAGUUGGUGCUGUUUUAACCUUCGCAAGGACCGGGCGUAGCCACACUCGGUUCAACUAAAGUUGGAGAAACUGUCACCCGCUAGCCACCUUUGUGCAAAGCACGUCGGGAGAACCGGUCUCGCGUAAGCGUACACGUAAUGUCGGUCCGGGCUGCUUCGUCCAACAAUACCGCCAAACCAAAGUAUGACAUGCUGGUAAGCAGUAUGACUUAUAUCGCCCACAACUCACAUGUGUUCUACUCGUGCAUAUAACAUCAACACAUAAAACCUGGCUCUGAUACCACUGUUGGGGAACGUAGUGAUUUUAAAAAUUUUCCUACGCACACGCAAGAUCAUGGUGAUGCAUAGCAACGAGAGGGGAGAGUGUGAUCUACGUACCCUUGUAGACCGACAGCAGAAGCGUUAGCACAACGCGGUUGAUGUAGUCGUACGUCUUCACGGCCCGACCGAUCAAGCACCGAAACUACGGCACCUCCGAGUUCUAGCACACGUUCAGCUCGAUGAUGAUCCCCGGACUCCGAUCCAGCAAAGUGUCGGGGAAGAGUUCCGUCAGCACGACGGCGUGGUGACGAUCUUGAUGUACUACCGCCGCAGGGCUUCGCCUAAGCACCGCUACAAUAUUAUCGAGGAUUAUGAUGGAAGGGGGCACCGCACACGGCUAAGAAUAUGAUCACGUGGAUCAACUUGUGUGUCUAGGGGUGCCCCCUGCCCCUGUAUAUAAAGGAUCAAGGGGAGGAGGCCGGCCGGCCUCUAUGGCGCGCCAAGGAGGAGUCCUCCUCCUAGUAGGAGUAGGACUCCUACUAGGAGGGGUAAAGAAGUGGGGAAGGAGAAGGAAAGGGGGGUGCCGCCCCCUCUCCUAGUCCAAUUCGGACCAGGGGGGGAGGAGGUGCGCGUCCCACCUUUGGCUGCCCCUCUCUCUCUCCACUAAGGCCCAUAUGGCCCAUUACUUCUCCCGGGGGGGUUCCGGUAACCUUCCGGCUCUCCGGUUUUCUCCGAAAUCACUCGGAACACUUCCGGUGUCCGAAUAUAGCCGUCCAAUAUAUCAAUCUUUAUGUCUCGACCAUUUCGAGACUCCUCGUCAUGUCCGUGAUCACAUCCGGGACUCCGAAAUAACUUCGGUACAUCAAAACUCAUAAACUCAUAAUAUAACUAUCAUCGAAACCUUAAGCGUGCGGACCCUACGGGUUCGAGAACAAUGUAGACAUGACCGAGACACGUCUCCGGUCAAUAACCAAUAGCGGAACCUGGAUGCUCAUAUUGACUCCUAAAUAUUCUACGAAGAUCUUUAUCGGUCAGACCGCAUAACAACAUACGUUGUUCCCUUUGUCAUCGGUAUGUUACUUGCCCGAGAUUCGAUCGUCGGUAUCUCAAUACCUAGUUCAAUCUCGUUAUCGGCAAGUCUCUUUACUCGUUUCGUAAUACAUCAUCUUGCAACUAACUCAUUAGUUGUAAUAUUUGCAAGGCUUAUGUGAUGUGCAUUACCGAGAGGGCCCAGAGAUACCUCUCCGACAAUCGGAGUGACAAAUCCUAAUCUCGAAAUACGCCAACCCAACAUUCACCUUUGGAGACACCUAUAGAGCUUCUUUAUAAUCACCCAGUUACGUUGUGACGUUUGGUAGCACACAAAUUAUUCCUUCGGUAAACGGGAGUUGCAUAAUCUCAUAGUCAUAGGAACAUGUAUAAGUCAUGAAGAAAGCAAUAGCAACAUACUAAACGAUCGGGUGCUAAGCUAAUGGAAUGGGUCAUGUCAAUCACAUCAUUCUCCUAAUGAUGUGAUCCCAUUAAUCAAAUGACAACACAUGUCUAUGGUUAGGAAACAUAACCAUCUUCGAUUAACGAGCUAGUCAAGUAGAGGCAUACUAGUGACGUUUGGUUUGUCUAUGUAUUCACACAAGUAUUAUGUUUCCGGAUAAUACAAUUCUAGCAUGAAUAAUAAACAUUUAUCAUGAUAUAAGGAAAUAAAAUAAUAACAUUAUUAUUGUCUCUAGGGCAUAUUUCCUUCAAAAGCAUGGCAACUAUAUCUGUUUUGGUUAACUAUAGUUGCAAUGUCUAAUUUAUGGUAGUUGCCGCCUGUAAUAAAACCGUAGUUGCCGUGUGUGAUUAACUACUUGCCACAUAUGGUCAAACAGCAGUUGCCAUGUGUGUUUACCUAGUUGCCGCAUGUGGUCCAACCAUAGUUGUCAUGUAUUGUUAAUCACAGUUGCCAUGUGUGUUUAUCUGGUUGCCAUGUACGCGCAACUGCAGUUGCCGUCUAGCAAAGAAUCAUAGUUGCCAUGUGUGUGUACCGAGUUGCCACGUUCGCGUAACUGCAGUUGUCAUCCACAAUGUAAGAGUGUCGUGUGGGCGAAAAGCAGUUCGCCCACACGCGCAUGACCUAGGUGGUGACUGUGUGGACAGAAACUAGUUUGCCCACACAGCGCAGCUGGCGAACAGCGUGGUGCGGCCGUGUGGGCAAACUCUCCAACGCCCACACACCAACCCCGUCCUGUGUGGCACACCAAAUCCACCUUUUUAUUAAGAUUCGUGUAAAAGACAGUGAACGACGAUCCAGACGUGUAGGCGAGUUGGGGAACGCCCACACGUGUGGGCGUUAGUGUUUCCGAAAAUAAUUGCCUUUAGAUCAAAACAUUUUAGCCAUUUCGGUAGUACACCGAACUAAAGCAGUUUUCUAAUCUAAUAAAAUCAAAAUAAUUGAUUGGAUCUAGUCAAACUCGAUUGAAAAUUUCAGUCUUUUGACCGAAGAGAAAACGAAAAGUUACCGAAUUUUAAUCAAAGUGUGAACCAAGCUUGUGACUAAAGUGGCAACCGACUGAAAUAUGGACAACGCUACACCUACGGACGAUGUGNNNNNNNNNNNNNNNNNNNNNNNNNNNNNNNNNNNNNNNNNNNNNNNNNNNNNNNNNNNNNNNNNNNNNNNNNNNNNNNNNNNNNNNNNNNNNNNNNNNNNNNNNNNNNNNNNNNNNNNNNNNNNNNNNNNNNNNNNNNNNNNNNNNNNNNNNNNNNNNNNNNNNNNNNNNNNNNNNNNNNNNNNNNNNNNNNNNNNNNNNNNNNNNNNNNNNNNNNNNNNNNNNNNNNNNNNNNNNNNNNNNNNNNNNNNNNNNNNNNNNNNNNNNNNNNNNNNNNNNNNNNNNNNNNNNNNNNNNNNNNNNNNNNNNNNNNNNNNNNNNNNNNNNNNNNNNNNNNNNNNNNNNNNNNNNNNNNNNNNNNNNNNNNAAAAGCCGUGGAAACCAUCCGUAAGUCUAGCAUUUUUGCUGAAAUAUUUCUAAAACUAUGGUCACAGGUCGUGGUCGCCCUCUACGUCUUUUGCAAGUCAUGGCCUGGCGGGCCAAAGAGGUUGCUGCAGGCCGCAAUCUUGUUGUUCGUCGUCGGGAUUUUUAGAUCCAUCCAGAAGCCAUUAGCUAUGAAGAACGCCAGUAUCAGUAACAUAGUGGCUUCUUUGUCACUAUCCCGGAGUGAGCAGAACGAACUCGCGUUGUUCUGCGGAACAAUAUGCUAUUGCUCAAUGGGCCCGCGGAAGUUAUACAUAACUAAAGAAGGAGAAAGAGCGGAACAGAAGGACAUCUCGCUUGAAGAAUUUGUACAAAAAGCAACCAGUUUGCCAGAGUUGGCCAGUGAUCAAGGCAAAGCUGAAGGCAUGGCAUCACGUGAUUCAUGGGAGGUAAAUGUGUACCGGCCGCUGGUAGACAUAUCAGCUCUAUACUCUGACCGGAUAAAAAACCUACAGCUCUUUAUGGCCCUUGAUUACCAACAUGCCAAUAGUAUGUCGAGAGAACAGCUUACCAAGUUGUUUUCGUUCCUCUACACAAAACUAGCUAACAUAGUCUGUUGCUUCAUCUGCUGUCAUUUUUGGCUUCCAUUCUUGAUCUUAGCUUCUGUCAUCCUCUUCUCCACAUACCACAAAUAUUAUGACUACAACGCAACAGAUGUCAAGGUAACUUACAUCUUGUUCUGGUCGACCGCGUUGCUGGAUUUUCUAUUCCUCUUUGUCAGCGUUUCCAUCAUGGAGACAGAAACAGAUAUGGUUUCGCAACAUAACCUCUUGUCGUUCUAUGCUCGUAAGAAGCGACCCACUCUUCUUAUGAAGCUUGCCACACUUGCAUGCUGCAAAGGCUAUGUUAACAUGCAUUGUUAUAUAGAACAUGCACCAGCAACAUCCUCACUCCAAGUUGUGGAGUUGGUUCAUGGAUAUGUUAUGGAUGGUUGGAGAAGGUACAUCAAAGAUGCUGCUAGCUACAAGAGAUUCAACCUCCACAGGGGGCAGUGGGCUCUAAGGCGUCAACGUCAUCUUGGCUGGAGCUUGAAUAUGUCAUUUGAUAGAAGUGUCCUUCUCUGGCACAUCGCCACAGACAUCUGCUUUCACCACCAGAGCACAACCCCUCGCGGCCAAGAGUGCGCCGCUCGAAGCAGGGUUAUAUCCAACUACAUGGCGUACCUGCUCUCCAUUCGUUCAGAAAUGCUUAUACCCGGGUCCAGGAUCGGCAUCUUCACCAUUGCAUGUGAAGAUAUCGAGCGCAUGCUAGGUGACAAUUCUGCACUGCACGACGAAAAAGGACUUGCGCAAGGAAUUAUUUGCAGGGCGCAACAACCUCCCUUGGUUGAUAACACCAGCAUAACAGGAACAGCAUGCAGGCUUGCUAAAAUGUUGAUGGAGCUAGAAGAUGAAGUGGAGAGGUGGGAGAUGGUCCAGGGGGUAUGGGUGGAGAUGUUGUGCUACUCUGCCAGCAGGGGGUAUGAGUGAAGUUACAGAGCUUCUCACUCGUGUAUGGUUCCUCUUAAUAUCCAUGGGGAUGGAGACAUUGCCUGAUAGGUUUCAGAAGUCGGAGUAUCUUGAAAUCAAAGAAGAAAAAGCUGAAGAAAACAAUGACGAUGGUGAAGACAUAGUCAUCGAGCACAAGAUUAAUAUGCCCAUCUAAGUUAUUUUUCCAAAUAUUUAUGUUGUGUCGUUGUUGAUGCUUGGAUGCUAGACUUUCCUCCUAGUUGUAAUGCGUGUAUUAUGAUCGCCAUUCUGUUUCAAUAAUAUUUUACGGCUUGCUUUUUGAUUUUUAGUCUUUUCAAUUGACCACUCUAUCUCUGUUUAUGAAUGAAAGUAAUGCAAAAGCGAGCGUGCUGAUACAAAUGGUUCGACGUACGAGAGUCAUUUUGCAAACAAACUAUGAUUAAUCGGCUAUAUAUUACUCUUUUUGUAAACAUAGACAUUUCAGAAAAAGUAGUUCAAAUCUUGUCACGUCAAUAAAAUCCGGCUGUUUCCCAUUUGGCCAUUGCACCCACCCACUCGCCCACUCACCCAUUCCGCUCCCUUUUACCGCACUCGCUCACCAACUCUCCAAAUCCCUAGCUCUCCUACACGGCGAUGAUGCGCCUCCCUCUUGACCGUGUCGGCCCCGCUCUUCUCUUGUCGUCUUCUCUCUCUCUCUCUCUCUCUCUCUCUCUCUCUCUCUCUUCUCUCUCUCUCUCUCCCGUGUCACCUAUCCUUCUCGCUCACAUCGUCGUCGAGCCAAAGUUAGCUCUUUAGUGAUGUCGAGAAGGAGCGUGUUCCGUGUCAAGGAAGAAGCGGGCGGAGGGCAUGGUCGAACGCUGUCGCCGCCACCCUCAACGAGCUCCAUGCUCCGCUCCGUCGUACUCCAAGAUUAGCAAGGUAAAAAGCAACUCUCCUUUUCAUUUUUACCACACCAGAGGGAGCAAUAAACCGCAUCAAAAUCUUGAGAGUAUAUCAAAUUGAGUGUGUGUUCUUGGCCCAUCAAAAUCUUGGGAGUAAAUCAACCGCAUCAAUAUUGAGCCCCGUGGAUAGUCCUAAAGUAAGGGCGGAUCGUAUUUUUAUUUGUUUAUGUGAAAUUUUGUUGGUUGAGCCACACAGAUUCUCUUCUUUCUGGUUUCUCCAGAUUAUGAUGAGUUUGUAUCAUGGUUUCAAAUUUUCGAUCAUGUGAACAUUUUGGCCACCACUGAUAGUUCUGAAAUCUUGGUUUCCUGUUCGUCCAAAAAACCGAAUUUCACUUCAGUUCUACCCACAUCAGACCUACAGUACUUUGAUCAGCUAGACGGCGCGCACGCACACUGAGAACCUACGAACCGGGG
rnacentral:lncRNA from 1 species